GGUUAAGCGACUAAGCGUACACGGUGGAUGCCCUGGCAGUCAGAGGCGAUGAAGGGCGUGCUAAUCUGCGAUAAGCGCCGGUAAGGUGAUAUGAACCGUUAUAACCGGCGAUACCCGAAUGGGGAAACCCAGUGUGAUUCGUCACACUAUCAUUAACUGAAUCCAUAGGUUAAUGAGGCGAACCGGGGGAACUGAAACAUCUAAGUACCCCGAGGAAAAGAAAUCAACCGAGAUUCCCCCAGUAGCGGCGAGCGAACGGGGAGGAGCCCAGAGCCUGAAUCAGCAUGUGUGUUAGUGGAAGCGUCUGGAAAGGCGCGCGAUACAGGGUGACAGCCCCGUACACAAAAGCGCAUGUGCUGUGAGCUCGAUGAGUAGGGCGGGACACGUGGUAUCCUGUCUGAAUAUGGGGGGACCAUCCUCCAAGGCUAAAUACUCCUGACUGACCGAUAGUGAACCAGUACCGUGAGGGAAAGGCGAAAAGAACCCCGGCGAGGGGAGUGAAAAAGAACCUGAAACCGUGUACGUACAAGCAGUGGGAGCCCCACCACUAAGCCAGUGGUGAACUCCACAUACGCAUCCUUUGCUGAGGAUACGGUUAACGGAGCGAAAGCGACGUUCAACCUCAAAAGAAGCAGAGGGGGCUUAGUGGUGGGGUGACUGCGUACCUUUUGUAUAAUGGGUCAGCGACUUAUAUUCUGUAGCAAGGUUAACCGCAUAGGGGAGCCGGAGGGAAACCGAGUCUUAAUUGGGCGUUAAGUUGCAGGGUAUAGACCCGAAACCCGGUGAUCUAGCCAUGGGCAGGUUGAAGGUUGGGUAACACUAACUGGAGGACCGAACCGACUAAUGUUGAAAAAUUAGCGGAUGACCUGUGGCUGGGGGUGAAAGGCCAAUCAAACCGGGAGAUAGCUGGUUCUCCCCGAAAGCUAUUUAGGUAGCGCCUCGUGAAUUCAUCUCCGGGGGUAGAGCACUGUUUCGGCUAGGGGGCCAUCCCGGCUUACCAACCCGAUGCAAACUGCGAAUACCGGAGAAUGUUAUCACGGGAGACACACGGCGGGUGCUAACGUCCGUCGUGAAGAGGGAAACAACCCAGACCGCCAGCUAAGGUCCCAAAGUCAUGGUUAAGUGGGAAACGAUGUGGGAAGGCCCAGACAGCCAGGAUGUUGGCUUAGAAGCAGCCAUCAUUUAAAGAAAGCGUAAUAGCUCACUGGUCGAGUCGGCCUGCGCGGAAGAUGUAACGGGGCUAAACCAUGCACCGAAGCUGCGGCAGCGAACGUAUCACCCAAGACAACUUUACGGAGUUGACGAUUGACGGAGCGAAGCGACGUCAAAGCGUUCAUUAAAGUCGAGUUGGCUUAGGGAUACGUUCGUUGGGUAGGGGAGCGUUCUGUAAGCCUGUGAAGGUGGCCUGUGAGGGUUGCUGGAGGUAUCAGAAGUGCGAAUGCUGACAUAAGUAACGAUAAAGCGGGUGAAAAGCCCGCUCGCCGGAAGACCAAGGGUUCCUGUCCAACGUUAAUCGGGGCAGGGUGAGUCGACCCCUAAGGCGAGGCCGAAAGGCGUAGUCGAUGGGAAACGGGUUAAUAUUCCCGUACUUGGUGUUACUGCGAAGGGGGGACGGAGAAGGCUAUGUUGGCCGGGCGACGGUUGUCCCGGUUUAAGCGUGUAGGCUGGUUUUCCAGGCAAAUCCGGAAAAUCAAGGCUGAGGCGUGACGACGAGGCACUACGGUGCUGAAGCAACAAAUGCCCUGCUUCCAGGAAAAGCCUCUAAGCAUCAGGUAACAUCAAAUCGUACCCCAAACCGACACAGGUGGUCAGGUAGAGAAUACCAAGGCGCUUGAGAGAACUCGGGUGAAGGAACUAGGCAAAAUGGUGCCGUAACUUCGGGAGAAGGCACGCUGACACGUAGGUGAAGUGAUUUACUCAUGGAGCUGAAGUCAGUCGAAGAUACCAGCUGGCUGCAACUGUUUAUUAAAAACACAGCACUGUGCAAACACGAAAGUGGACGUAUACGGUGUGACGCCUGCCCGGUGCCGGAAGGUUAAUUGAUGGGGUCAGCGCAAGCGAAGCUCCUGAUCGAAGCCCCGGUAAACGGCGGCCGUAACUAUAACGGUCCUAAGGUAGCGAAAUUCCUUGUCGGGUAAGUUCCGACCUGCACGAAUGGCGUAAUGAUGGCCAGGCUGUCUCCACCCGAGACUCAGUGAAAUUGAACUCGCUGUGAAGAUGCAGUGUACCCGCGGCAAGACGGAAAGACCCCGUGAACCUUUACUAUAGCUUGACACUGAACAUUGAGCCUUGAUGUGUAGGAUAGGUGGGAGGCUUUGAAGUGUGGACGCCAGUCUGCAUGGAGCCGACCUUGAAAUACCACCCUUUAAUGUUUGAUGUUCUAACGUGGACCCGUAAUCCGGGUUGCGGACAGUGUCUGGUGGGUAGUUUGACUGGGGCGGUCUCCUCCUAAAGAGUAACGGAGGAGCACGAAGGUUGGCUAAUCCUGGUCGGACAUCAGGAGGUUAGUGCAAUGGCAUAAGCCAGCUUGACUGCGAGCGUGACGGCGCGAGCAGGUGCGAAAGCAGGUCAUAGUGAUCCGGUGGUUCUGAAUGGAAGGGCCAUCGCUCAACGGAUAAAAGGUACUCCGGGGAUAACAGGCUGAUACCGCCCAAGAGUUCAUAUCGACGGCGGUGUUUGGCACCUCGAUGUCGGCUCAUCACAUCCUGGGGCUGAAGUAGGUCCCAAGGGUAUGGCUGUUCGCCAUUUAAAGUGGUACGCGAGCUGGGUUUAGAACGUCGUGAGACAGUUCGGUCCCUAUCUGCCGUGGGCGCUGGAGAACUGAGGGGGGCUGCUCCUAGUACGAGAGGACCGGAGUGGACGCAUCACUGGUGUUCGGGUUGUCAUGCCAAUGGCACUGCCCGGUAGCUAAAUGCGGAAGAGAUAAGUGCUGAAAGCAUCUAAGCACGAAACUUGCCCCGAGAUGAGUUCUCCCUGAGACUUAGAGUCUCCUGAAGGAACGUUGAAGACGACGACGUUGAUAGGCCGGGUGUGUAAGCGCAGCGAUGCGUUGAGCUAACCGGUACUAAUGAACCGUGAGGCUUAACCUU
rnacentral:rRNA from 1 species